AUUUCUAUUUAUAUAGUUUAAAAAAAACAUUAUAUUUUCAUUAUAAAAUUAAAUUCCCUUUUUUUAUAA
rnacentral:tRNA from 1 species